GACAGAGGGUGCAAACGUUUGUUCGGAAUUAUUGGGCGUAAAGGGCGCGUAGGCGGCUUGGCAAGUGGAAGGUGAAAUCCCUCGGCUUAACCGAGGAACUGCCCUCCAAACUGCUUCGCUUGAGACCGGGAGAGGUGAGUGGAAUUCCCAGUGUAGCGGUGAAAUGCGUAGAUAUUGGGAGGAACACCAGUGGCGAAGGCGGCUCACUGGACCGGUACUGACGCUGAUGCGCGAAAGCGUGGGGAGCAAACGGG
rnacentral:rRNA from 1 species